UACGGGGGGGGCAAGCGUUGUUCGGAAUUACUGGGCGUAAAGGGCUUGUAGGCGGCCAACUAAGUCAGACGUGAAAUCCCUCGGCUUAACCGGGGAACUGCGUCUGAUACUGGAUGGCUCGAGAUUGGGAGAGGGAUGCGGAAUUCCAGGUGUAGCGGUGAAAUGCGUAGAUAUCGGGAGGAACACCAGUGGCGAAGGCGGCGACCUGGGCCAAUAUUGACGCUGAGGUGCGAAAGCGUGGGGAGCAAACAGG
rnacentral:rRNA from 1 species